rnacentral:lncRNA from 1 species
UCGGUGCUUCUCCAUAAAUAAAAAAAAGAAAAGAAAUCAAAGCAUAGCCCACAAGUGCAGUGGGACACCCUAGCCCGUGUCUACUUCUCUACUCAACCAUAGCCCUCCAUUGCAAAAACCAAGUCUCCUCUCAUACAAAGAAAAGUCAGAAUAUUCUCUGUAUGUGACGGUUGGUCCUAGGUAUCCCCCUGCCAAUCCCGAGACCUGUCCCUACUUCAACUUAAAAAUGAGAAUGUUUCCUAGGGUGGCAACUGAACUUCCAUGGGCUGGACUUUGCUGGACCGUAAUGUGCUGUUUGCUGCCAACAAAUUAAUUUCUCAACGUUGUUGCACUGUCUUUUAUUUCUCCAAGCAGUUGGACGUGUUGCAUUGUGGACCGCUUCUUCCUUCUCGGUUGCAGAUGGAAGUGUGAGCUGUUGGACGUGAUGAAGGUUGAUUGCCAUAGGCCGUGACCUGCUUCAGCCCAAGUGAAGUUGUUGAUAGACGCUACAGUUAAUUGCCACAGCUGGAUCACGCUGCUUUCUCCAUAUUAACGUGCUAAUAUGUUAGUCAUCUUGUCACCGUGUUGGAUGCUGGAUCGUGGAAUUGUGGAUGGGCUGCAGCUCUUCACGUGGUGAAGCCUGCUGGACCAGCCGAGAAGCAUGGUGUACGCAUGCAUGGGACUGCAGGCUUUGGUGAAGAUGAAUGGGCUGCUGGCUGAAGAAAUUAAGUGCAGCCGUGUUGCUUCAGCUGUUAGGCGUCAUGGGCUGUGGUGCUCAUUCAUGGUUGGAAGCUGGACCGUAAUGUGCUCCUUGCUAUGGGCCGUGUACACGAAUUCUGCUGCACCUCCACUCAUGUGUCUCUUGCUGGAUGAAGAAACAUGUUAGGUGCAUCUUCGUGCAAGCUGGACCGGGCCGUGGACAAUAUAUGCUGCAGCUAGACCACUGCAAUUUCUCUUCCAAAUAAAAUAGCAUGUUGCUGCAUGGGCUGCACCAAACUUCACGUGUGCAUGUGCUAGUUUUGCUAAUGUGCUCACGGGCCCGCAAGAUUCUCCAAGUUUGAAUGAAUCACCGUGCAGAUGCUUCCAACAAGGCUAUGACAGCUACUUCUUUUUGUUGGAUGUCACUCCCUUUUCAAUUGAACACCUCUUUCUCAUAAGCCUAAAGGGUAAAAUUACAAUAGUGCCCAUCUUUUUGUAAACACUUCGUUUAUGAAAAAUCUUGAAUUAUGUGACAUCCUUCCAAAUGUCCCAAUUUGUAUUUCC